GAUGAACGCUGGCGGCGUGCCUAAUACAUGCAAGUCGAGCGAACAGACGAGGAGCUUGCUCCUCUGACGUUAGCGGCGGACGGGUGAGUAACACGUGGAUAACCUACCUAUAAGACUGGGAUAACUUCGGGAAACCGGAGCUAAUACCGGAUAAUAUAUUGAACCGCAUGGUUCAAUAGUGAAAGACGGUUUUGCUGUCACUUAUAGAUGGAUCCGCGCCGCAUUAGCUAGUUGGUAAGGUAACGGCUUACCAAGGCAACGAUGCGUAACCGACCUGAGAGGGUGAUCGGCCACACUGGAACGGAGACACGGUCCAGACUCCUACGGGAGGCAGCAGUAGGGAAUCUUCCGCAAUGGGCGAAAGCCUGACGGAGCAACGCCGCGUGAGUGAUGAAGGUCUUCGGAUCGUAAAACUCUGUUAUUAGGGAAGAACAAAUGUGUAAGUAACUAUGCACGUCUUGACGGUACCUAAUCAGAAAGCCACGGCUAACUACGUG
rnacentral:rRNA from 1 species